rnacentral:rRNA from 1 species
AACUUUCAACAACGGAUCUCUUGGUUCCCGCAUCGAUGAAGAACGCAGCGAAACGCGAUAGUUAAUGUGAAUUGCAGAAUUCAGUGAAUCAUCGAGUCUGUGAACGCAUAUUGCGCCCAUUGGUAUUCCAUUGGGCAUGUCUGUUUGAGCGUCAUU